rnacentral:rRNA from 1 species
AUUGAACGCUGGCGGCAGGCCUAACACAUGCAAGUCGAACGAGUGGCGGACGGGUGAGUAAUGUCUGGGAAACUGCCCGAUGGAGGGGGAUAACUACUGGAAACGGUAGCUAAUACCGCAUACCAUCGGAUGUGCCCAGAUGGGAUUAGCUAGGAGGUGGGGUAAUGGCUCACCUAGGCGACGAUCCCUAGCUGGUUUGAGAGGAUGACACCCCCCACUGGAAAUGAGACACGGUCCAGACGCGUCCUUGACUCUUACAUAUAAAAUAUUGCACAAUGCGCGCAAGCCUGAGCAAGCCAUGCCGCGUGUAGGAAGAAUUCCUUCGGGUUCUAAAGUACUUUCAGCGAGGAGGCGUUACUCGCAGAAGAAGCACCGGCUAACUCCGUGCCAGCAGCCGCGGUAAUUC